UACGUAGGGGGCAAGCGUUGUCCGGAAUCAUUGGGCGUAAAGAGCUCGUAGGCGGUCUGUUGCGUCCGCUGUGAAAACCCGGGGCUUAACCCCUGGCUUGCAGUGGAUACGGACAGACUAGAGGUAGGUAGGGGAGAAUGGAAUUCCCGGUGUAGCGGUGAAAUGCGCAGAUAUCGGGAGGAACACCGGUGGCGAAGGCGGUUCUCUGGGCCUUACCUGACGCUGAGGAGCGAAAGCGUGGGGAGCGAACAGG
rnacentral:rRNA from 1 species